GAUGUCACCCNCNCUGGGAUGAGACACGGCCCAGACUNCUACCGGGAGGCAGCAGUGGGGAAUUUUCCGCAAUNGGCGAAAGCCUGACGGAGCAAUACUGCUGAGGGAAGAAGGCCUUUGGGUUGUAAACCUCUUUUGUCAGGGAAGAAGAAUUGACGGUACCUGAAGAAAAAGCAUCGGCUAACUCCGUGCCAGCGNCCGCGGUAAUACGGAGGAUGCAAGCGUUAUCCGGAAUCAUUGGGCGUAAAGGGUCCGCAGGUGGCGAAUAAAGUCUGCUGUUAAAGACCGGGGCUUAACUCCGGAAAGGCAGUGGAAACUGAUUAGCUAGAGUACGGUAGGGGUAGAGGGAAUUCCCAGUGUAGCGGUGAAAUGCGUAGAUAUUGGGAAGAACACCGGUGGCGAAAGCGCUCUACUAGGCCGAAACUGACACUGAGGGACGAAAGCUAGGGUAGCGAAAGGGAUUAGAUACCCCUGUAGUCUUAGCGGUAAACGAUGGAUAC
rnacentral:rRNA from 1 species